UGUGUGGUAACCUAGCCUAUAAUUUCUACUUGGAAUUUCCAAUCAUGUGGCCUGACAGAGCCUGAGCAUCUGUACAUUUUGCCAAGAUGUCGUCCCUUUUUCCUGUACGUACCGGCUGUACGUUUUGUAAGAAACACUUAAGAACGAAUCAGUCUGGUAAAGUCUGAGCUUCGUCAUUGCUGCCCAAUGUACACAUGGAUUUUAUGCAGCCAGCUGGAAAAGGUUGUUCCUAUUGCUACCUGUACUGCUAUGUGUUUCGUCAAAUGAAGAAACAUGAACAACUCAAGUUUAUCGUGUAUGUUCGCGAAGUUGCUGUCCGCUGUGGUACGUUGUUGCAGCCUAUGCUGGUGAUAGAUAUUUCUGCAUCAAAUUCCCUUGGUGCUGGUGUCGUGUUACCGAAGUUGCAUCAUUAUUUCGUUAAAUUGUCAUCGUGACUACUGCAGUUUACCGUUAAUAAGUUCACAAAAAAGAAAUAUGGGAUGUUUAUGUCAAACAAAUAAUAAACAUGUUUUCGGGAUUGGGAAAGUGGAGGAUGUUGGGGGGCGGGAUAUUUCAAGUUUGGAUACAAAAGUAUUUAAUUUAUAACCCUAUAAACAUAUCCCUACCAAUUAAUCUCCAAGCCCCACAAACAUGUACCUACCAACCCUCAAUUUUGUACCCUUAACCUAAACCACAUAACCCAAUGUUAAACCCUACCAAUGUGAUGUCGGUAAUAAAAAAUUUAGUACAUUAAA